rnacentral:rRNA from 1 species
UACGGGGGGAGCAAGCGUUGUUCGGAUUUACUGGGCGUAAAGGGCGCGUAGGCGGCCGUGCAAGUCGGUUGUGAAAUCUCCGGGCUUAACUCGGAACGGUCAACUGAUACUGCUCGGCUAGAGUGCGGAAGGGGCAACUGGAAUUCUUGGUGUAGCGGUGAAAUGCGUAGAUAUCAAGAGGAACACCUGCGGCGAAGGCGGCCAUCUGGACGGAUACUGACGCUGAGACGCGAAAGCGUGGGUAGCAAACAGG